rnacentral:piRNA from 1 species
GGAAACUCUGUGUGGAAGUAGUUG